ACUACGGGAGGCAGCAGUGGGGGAUAUUGGACAAUGGGGGGAACCCUGAUCCAGCGACGCCGCGUGAGUGAAGAAGUAUUUCGGUAUGUAAAGCUCUGUCAGCAGGGAAGAAAGAAAUGACGGUACCUGACCAAGAAGCCCCGGCUAACUACGUGCCAGCAGCCGCGGUAAUACGUAGGGGGCAAGCGUUAUCCGGAAUUACUGGGUGUAAAGGGAGCGUAGACGGUUAAGUAAGUCUGGAGUGAAAGGCCGGGGCCCAACCCCGGGACUGCUCUGGAAACUAUUGAACUUGAGUGCAGGAGAGGUAAGCGGAAUUCCUAGUGUAGCGGUGAAAUGCGUAGAUAUUAGGAGGAACACCAGUGGCGAAGGCGGCUUACUGGACUGUAACUGACGUUGAGGCUCGAAAGCGUGGGGAGCAAACAGGAUUAGAUACCCGAGUAGUC
rnacentral:rRNA from 1 species